GAGAAAGAGAGGGUAGGGGUAGAGAGAAAGAGAGGGUAGGGGUAGAGAGAAAGAGAGGGUAGGGGUAGAGAGAAAGAGAGGGUAGGGGUAGAGAGAAAGAGAGGGUAGGGGUAGAGAGAAACAGAGGGUAGGGGUAGAGAGAAAGAUAUGGAGAACAAUGCCUUCACAUUGGCCGGGAGAAAGAAAAAGAGAAAUAGAAAGAGGACAAGCCUUGACGUGGGCAACACAUCCACCCUGGCCACUGCUGCGGAGACCGCAGGGCUGGCAUACUGAGACCGCAAGGCUGGCAUGCUGAGACCGCAGGGCUGGCAUACUGAGACUGCAGGGUUGGCAUACUGAGACCGCAGGGUUGGCAUACUGAGACCGCAGGGCUGGCAUACUGAGACCGCAGGGCUGGCAUACUGAGACCGCAGGGCUGGCAUACUGAGACCGCAGGGCUGGCAUACUGAGACCGCAGGGCUGGCAUACUGAGACCGCAGGGCUGGCAUACUGAGCUCCUAAAGAGAACAGUAUGUUUGUCUAAGAGAAAAUGAACUCCUGCAUUCACACAGUCAACAGCUGCUGCAGCAGUUGAGAUCUGCUAAAAGCUAAAAGCAGAUGCUGAAAGGAGAAUGGGUUUCAAAUGUACCGUGUCUAUCCAUGUCUCAGUUCAAUCAGUAUCGGUGGAAUAUUCCAAUUUCUGUACAAUGCUGUAACUCCAUUUUGAGUCAUCCAUGUUUGUGGCUCUUACGCCAUAGAUGUUGACUGGUAGAUGGAUAUGUUUGUGUUUUAUCCUUCUCCUUUGUCUUUUGCGUGAGUUGGCUAAAACAGAAACAAAUCUGGCGCAAAGCUCCAUGUUCACUGUCACCUUUUGCACCAUUAUGGCCUUUUGAUGUGUUUGAAUGACUAACCGUCCUCAGGUCUAGACGCUGUCACCAUUAUGGCCUUUUGAUGUGUUUGAAUGACUAACCGUCCUCAAGUCUAGACGCUGUCACCAUUAUGGCCUUUUGAUGUGUUUGAAUGACUAACCGUCCUCAGGUCUAGACGCUGUCACCAUUAUGGCCUUUUGAUGUGUUUGAAUGACUAACCGUCCUCAGGUCUAGACGCUGUCACCAUUAUGGCCUUUUGAUGUGUUUGAAUGACUAACCGUCCUCAGGUCUAGACGCUGUCACCAUUAUGGCCUUUUGAUGUGUUUGAAUGACUAACCGUCCUCAGGUCUAGACGCUGUCACCAUUAUGGCCUUUUG
ensembl:lncRNA